GGGCUUGUGGUUUAGUGGUAUAAUUCCUCUUUAGCAAGUCUCUCCACGGAAAGAUGGGUCUAGAGGCGGUCCCUGGUUCGAUUCCUGGCAGGUCCA